GGUGACCUAAAGGACGUAUCUGAUACUGAAGGUGAUGGGAGAAUGACUACUGUGCCACCUGCUGACACACGUGGUAACACAGAUGUUGCUAAUGUGACCUCAGAAGCUGCGGAACGUGCUUCAAGAGAACACCAUCAUCCUACUGAACAACUAGAGAUCUCUGAGCCUGUUGCACCAA